CGGGCCGUAGCGCAGCUUGGUAGCGCGCCACGAUGGGGCCGUGGAGGUCGGUGGUUCGAAUCCACUCGGUCCGACCA
rnacentral:tRNA from 2 species